AGACCUACAAGUCGAGCAGGGUCGAAAGACGGACUUAGUGAUCCGGUGGUUCCGCAUGGAAGGGCCAUCGCUCAACGGAUAAAAGCUACCCCGGGGAUAACAGGCUUAUCUCCCCCAAGAGUUCACAUCGACGGGGAGGUUUGGCACCUCGAUGUCGGCUCAUCGCAUCCUGGGGCUGUAGUCGGUCCCAAGGGUUGGGCUGUUCGCCCAUUAAAGCGGUACGCGAGCUGGGUUCAGAACGUCGUGAGACAGUUCGGUCCCUAUCCGUCGUGGGCGUAGGAAAUUUGAGAGGAGCUGUCCUUAGUACGAGAGGACCGGGAUGGACAUACCUCUGGUGUACCAGUUGUCGUGCCAACGGCAUAGCUGGGUAGCUAUGUGUGGACGGGAUAAGUGCUGAAAGCAUCUAAGCAUGAAGCCCCCCUCAAGAUGAGAUUUCCCAACUUCGGUUAUAAGAUC
rnacentral:rRNA from 1 species